CUGAGUCUAUACCCUUCUGUAACCCCCUAGAGUUUUACGCAGUGUUAUACAAGUUCAGUGCAGUACUGUAGUUUUCCUGUAGGGGCCACUGUAUGAUCUGGUUAAUAGAGAUGUAAAGAUUAGGAGAAGGAGACUGAUCGUGGCUGGUACGCACGAGGUGAUUUAGCGCUGCAUUUGAAAUAUUAUAAUUAUAACUUCACAAAAGUACUUUUCUGAUGUUUAAAUGUGUAAACUUUUCAUAUAAAUUGCAGUAUGUUCAUGGAUUUCAAAAGGAAAUCGAAUUCACAUUGAUGUUGAUUGAGAAGUUAUUUCUGCGAACUCUGACUGUUUUUUUUUGUUGCCCGAUUCCAUCCGGUGACCUGAUCAACUGUGAGCUUAUGUGAGCUAUGGCGAGCCAGACCCUGUGAUUCUGUGAAGGCCUUACUGUUGACGUUCAACUCGAACCUGUCUUCAUCGAGGGAUUCUUUCCAAUUACAGCUAAGCUGUCAUUUUACACACACUACCCGGGUAGUAGGGAAAAGGCCUUAUACAUACAUUCGUUUUAUACCACUCACCAACUUGCGAAGGAACCAGGAGGACUUUUGGACAUUUUCUUUUCUUUACUUCUUUCUUUUCUUCUUUCUCGGACCUUUUAUGCACAACCUGGACUAAAUAUCGAAUUUUUCCCAUUCCAGCAGUGUUGUGUUGGGACGAUACAGCAAAGUAUUAACUUGUUUCUUCUAUUAUUAUUUUUUUUUUUCUGUUUAUAUGUGCAAUAAAUGUGCUGGCUGUUACCUGCUUCAUACCA